AUAAGAAAUUGAAAUUGAAAUUAGUUAGAGAAUUAAAGAGAAGAUCUAUAUCGAUAUUUUUUACUAUCGUUUUUUUUGAGGAUUAUUAAUAAUAAUUUAUUAUUAUGACUAAUUUACACUACGAGUACGAGUACACUUUACAAGAUAAAUUUAUUCAAGGAAUGUCAAAACCUAAGCGAACUUUAGAAGUACAGUUCGACAGCGCACCAAAAUCGGCACCACCGUCGUUGGCGUCUUCUCCGAAGAGUUGCUCUUCUGGUUUCUCUCAAUACUACAGAAACUUUUUUUUAUCACAAACCGCUAAAGAAGAUCAACAGAAGGCUUUAAAAGAAGAAGGUGGUAUACUAUGGGAAACGAACUCUAAGAGUGCUGAAAAUUUAGAAUCGAUUGUUAGCAAUUCCCUGGUAGGCUAUUUGCAAAAAGUAUCUCAAAAAUCGAAGACUCAGUCAUCUAAAAUGGGAAGUUAUAGGGAUGUGAACAUUUUGGCUCCGACUAGUACAUAGCUCAUUUUAUAAUCGGAUUUUUUGAGUAUUUUUGGCUAUAUUCCGAUUGCUUUUUGGUUUUGGUAAAAAAAAAAAACAAACUGACAAAGACAGAUUUUCUCAUUUAAACUGUUUAUACUUUUCAAACAAGCCUCUCUUCUUGCAUCAUAUUUUUCCCGGAUGUAUUCAUUGAAAGUUUAAUGACACACUUUAUCUUUUUUUUUAAAUCUAUAUUACAUCCUUCCUAUUUUACUUUUUUAGUAGUGACAUCUUGUAUGAAAUCUUAUCAUAUUCUUUAAAAUUACAUAUAUGCAUUACAAAUUCAGCUUUAUUUUCUACUUUAUUACGCAGUAUUAGAUUAAUAAUCCAUACGCCAUCCUCUACCCGUAUCACAUUGCCCAAAAAAUUGACACGUAAUUUAUUUUAGGCCUAUAUUUCUUGGAAAUACUUUGAACCCAGUUUUAUUUGUCUAGACUCGAAAUUGAAACCCACUAAAGCCUUGUUAAGAGAAUAAUACAAUUAUGAAGAAGAGGAAGGAAAAGAAGAAACAUAUAAAGGAUAAAAAAAGACAUUGCAAUAGACUUUUAAUAAUUAGUAAGCAGGAAAAAAUCUAUAUCAUAUCUUUAUUUAAGACACUACUCGUUUAAGUUUAACAACAAAAUUAUAGAGUUUUCUAGAUCAAAGUCAAAACCGUUGUUAAGGAUUUUCCUUUCAAACUACAAUAAAGCGAAGACGAAGUAUGAAAAUUGAAUUUACAUCCGGUAGGCAUUUUCUAAGAAGAUUAUUCCAUGCCUAGCGAGCCUUCUUUAUAGCCGUAAAUCAAAACUAAUUAACUGAAUUAUAAAAAAAGCUAAAGAUAGAACUGAAGGAAAAGUUAAAGAGAAAAGAAUCGUUUAUACUGUAUAUACAGUAUACACGGUGUCUAAAAGAGCAAGGAAGACAGAAUAGAAUCUCUCUUAGUUGACCUUACUAUUAAAGGGAAACUUAUAGCUACAAAUUUGUUUUAAAAAUACUGUUUGCUAUUUCAAACAACUAUACUUACAACAGUACUUUGCAAUGAAUAAUGUUUUCACCUUCAAUUGAAUAAAAUAACCUUGAAAGAAUCAUCUCUAAAUAUUUAUUAACCUAUGUGUCCUCUUUGUCCUUCUGUUCAACUUUUAUCUGUUUUUAAAGCUUAAUUUACAAGAGACAGGGUUGAAUUGAAAUUUAUAGAAAAAAGUGAAGCAUGCAGUUUACGUUGACGGGGGAUUUAUAAGUAGUAAAAGGAUACUUCCAAGAUGUAAGUGGAUGUCAUAGAAGGAGUAGGAGGGGGAGGAGGAGAAGGAGAAGAAGAAGCAGUAAUAAUAGCAGCCGAAGGAGACGGAAGGGGACGACUAAGGAUAAGAUUAAAGAAGGAGUAAAGUUUUUAUAAUGGGAAAUUGAUAAAUGGUUAAGCUUGAAGCAUUUUUUUAGGUCGUUCUAAAAACCCCCAGAGACGAAGAAACGUAACGACCUGCGCUAGCCUUGACUGAUCUAAGGUUAUAAUUGUAUCGAUUUCUCCUUCAUUUUUUCCCUUUAUAUAGCUGUACUUAAUUGACAGGAUGACAAAUGUAAAUCUAAAGGAAAUAUAAAUCUUGCUUUAACUUUUCUAAAGAACUGAUUAAGUGGGUGACAAAAUGAAAAUAUAUGAAUAAAGCAGUUUAAGUGAGAAAAAUUGAAACUUUCUAUAAGACUUUCUUAUUUGCAACAGCUUGAGAUUUUUAUUGUAAGAUUCACAGUACAAUGACCUCAUUCCCCUUAACCUAAAA
rnacentral:misc_RNA from 1 species